rnacentral:tRNA from 1 species
GCGGAUGUGGCGGAAUUGGCAGACGCGCCGGACUUAGGAUCCGGUGUCCACGACAUGGGAGUUCGAGUCUCUUCAUCCGCACCA